rnacentral:lncRNA from 1 species
CUUCACCAUCAUGACCAUUAAACCAAGAAGUGGGCUGCAGGAAGCACCAGUUCUGUUCAGACAUCAGGGAGGGAACACAGGAAUUGAGGAAGGGGAGAUGGAGGGUCUUGAGGUCAGUUCUCAGAAGACAAGAAUAUGAGGAGGUGCUAGGAGGAGCCUUCGGGGUGAUAGCGGUGCAAUGGCAAGGAGAGGAAUGUCCAUCAGCAUCAAGGUUUCUCAGGAGGCAGAGCACAGUGUGCCCUCAUUUCCCCCUGAAGCCCUACAGGACGUUGCCCUGUAGCAAUGCUUCACACAGACCGCUCCUGGACUGGCACUACAGCCCUGCAGAGAGCUUAGCUGGAGAAACACAGCCCUGAUCAGCCUAUCCAUGGCCUCGUGGAUGGAGCUUGUUUGCAGGUAGCUGAAACAAAAUCUCCUGCCACAGCCCUGACCUGUAUCCCCGAACAAAGCAUCCCUUAUUCAGUGGAUAAGCAAAGGGGAACAUCGGUUUUCAGAUUAUCUGCAUCCCAGCGUUCCCUCGGAGGGGGACAUGGCGAUGGAAGGUCUCUGUUCGGUGACCCAACAACAGGGCCUUUAUUGCCAGGCAGGGAUGAAAGGCCCAUCACAGCUGCUGGCUCAGCCCGUCCGUGACAGAGCGUGUUUGCACAAACAAUGCUGAAAUUAAAGCCCCCGAGUUCAAAACCUCAUUGUCUGAAAAGCACUUCAUGAAUCCAUCCCCCUCCUUUUCUAAUAAAAAAGGGGUGCGUUUUCUUCCUGCCGCGACAGAAGGUAGUUCUACAUCAUGCUGGUCCUACAAGUGUUGGUAAAUUGCUUUUUGAUGGGUGAAGCAAAGCGUGUGUGGGGUGCCCAUGGACUGGCUGGUGGUGAGUGAGAGUGGUGGUGAAUGGAGCUCCUUCCAGUUGGUGACUGGUCAUGAGUGGUGUUCCCCAGGGGUCGGUGCUGGGGCCCGUGCUCUUCAGUAUCUCUACUGAUGGCCUGGAUGAGGGCACUGAGUGCACCCUCAGUACGUUUGCAGAUGGAUGACACCAAGCUGGGGAAAGUGUGGGUCUUCCUGGGGUUAGGAAGGCCCUACGGAGGGAUCUGGGCAGGCUGAUCACUGGGCUGAGGCCAAUGGGAUGGAGUUCAAGAAGAUCGAGUGCCGGGUCCUGUGCUUUGGCCACAGCAACCCCAUGCAAUGCUGCAGGUGUGGGAAGCUGUGGGAGGAAAAGGAGCCGGGGCUUAUCUGCCCUAUCAGGAUCUGAAUGUAAGAUAUGGGAAAGACAAAGUCCUCCUUGCAGAACUAGCCAGCUCCUGGGCUCACGGAGAAGAUUCCGAGCAGAGCAGAGGGAUAAGAAUAAGAAUUGGUUUUUCCCAAAGGCAAAAUGAGUCGAAGGUCAGAGCUACCCCACGUGCUGCCCAUCCCUGCCUGGAGCAGCUCAAGAUUUCUGGCCCCAGAUCUUCCAAGGAGAUUUUUACCAGGCAGUUCAUAGUGUCACAUCAAGAGCUGAGACCACCCAGCUCUUCCCGAUGCUCUGUUUGUGGUCUCUCAUCACCAAAGUGCCAUGCUCACAGCCCAGAUGGGUUUACGUCUGUUUUAGAGCCCAGAGGCCAGAGUGAUCUCCCAGAAGAAAUCUAAGCAGGGUGUGAAAUAACAGGAGGAUGCAAAGAGCCUGGACAAAGGAUGUCAUUCUGCAAGCCAAGCUGUAUUGGCAGAGCUCCUGCUACCUCUUCAUGGUCACCAGCAGGGAAAUGGACCCACUUGACUGGCUGCACUGGUUGGGCCAGGAUUAGCUGCAAAAGCUUCUUGUCCCUGGGCUCCCAUGGUGCCGGGGCAGGGCAAAACCCAAAUUAACUUCAGCAAUAAGCAAACAAAUCCCUAACGAUGGAGGAGGGGCAGGGCUGGGUGCACAGCUGGGCAGAGCAAAGAUGACUUCUCAACCUGUGGUCAGAGCAGGGCUGGGUACAGCAUCAUCAGAGCAUCCUGUAUUCCUAAUGCAGGAGCACGGGCUGCACCCUGGCUGUGGGGCGAGACGGUGUCCUAUUAAUUGAUUUUGCCAACCUCAGAAGUUGAAAAGCAUUUUGCCUUCAUCCUCUGGAAUGCAAAACGCAUCCUCUUCCUCUCCAACCACGGUGGGCUCCACGGAGCAGAGAGCUGAUUCGUUUAGUUAAAACAGAUUAAAAUAGCUCGAGGAUCUUCAUGUUCAGUGAGCAAUGCUGGGGACAAGCAGGAGGACGCUGCAGGCACACUCCAUACAUCGUGCCAGUAAGUCCAAACCAUCUCCCCAGCAAGGUUUGGACUCACCCAAAAGACAGUGGAGCCCAUGUAAAAAUCCUCCCUUCAAUCCAGGUUUUUAAAACCCCCAAAGAGCCCAUUUGGACCCAUUUCAUGAGCUGUCUCACAGCAGAGGGUGG